rnacentral:rRNA from 1 species
GAUGAACGCUGGCGGCGUGCUUAACACAUGCAAGUCGAACGGAUUUAACNGAAAGCUUGCUUCGGUUAAAUUAGUGGCGGACGGGUGAGUAACGCGUGGAUAACCUGCCGUAUACAGGGGGAUAACACUUAGAAAUAGGUGCUAAUACCGCAUAAGCGCACAGUUUCGCAUGAGACAGUGUGAAAAACUCCGGUGGUAUACGAUGGAUCCGCGUCUGAUUAGCUAGUUGGUGAGAUAACGGCCCACCAAGGCGACGAUCGGUAGCCGACCUGAGAGGGUGAUCGGCCACAUUGGAACUGAGAAACGGUCCAGACUCCUACGGGAGGCAGCAGUGGGGAAUAUUGGGCAAUGGGCGAAAGCCUGACCCAGCAACGCCGCGUGAGGGAAGAAGGGUUUCGGCUCGUAAACCUCUGUCCUAUGGGACGAAUAAGAUGACGGUACCAUAGGAGGAAGCCCCGGCUAACUACGUG